rnacentral:rRNA from 1 species
AUACGGAGGGUGCAAGCGUUAAUCGGAAUUACUGGGCGUAAAGCGUACGUAGGCGGUUCGUUAAGUUAGAUGUGAAAGCCCCGGGCUUAACCUGGGAACUGCAUUCAAAACUGGCGAACUAGAGUUGAGUAGAGGGGAGUGGAAUUUCAGGUGUAGCGGUGAAAUGCGUAGAGAUCUGAAGGAACACCAGUGGCGAAGGCGACUCCCUGGACUCAAACUGACGCUGAGGCGCGAAAGCGUGGGGAGCAAACGGGAUUAGAAACCCCAGUAGUCC